CGACUCUUUAGGCGGGUCGGCCGUUUGCUCCUCCGCCUCCUAUCGUCAAAGCCCUUCGUAGUUCUCGUGGUCUGUGCUGAGUUCCAAGGCAGCCAUCCACAGCGACCCGGGACAAUGAAAAAUCACUGGAGCUUUUUUAAACAAGUGAUCCCCAGGAGCAUUUGAGGAUUCGUUUGUCAGGGUCCUUGGCGCCUCUCACGCGGGCAUCGGACGUCACAGCUUUGCCGGGCACCAAAGAUGGGGUUACUGCUACUCUGGUGCUGGAGAGGAGAGAAGGGGAGCGGAGGAGAGCCACGGGCAAGAACCUCAUGACUAUUGUCAUUUUUAAUCGUCAGG